rnacentral:rRNA from 1 species
AUUGAACGCUGGCGGCAUGCCUUACACAUGCAAGUCGAACGGUAACAGGUCUUCGGAUGCUGACGAGUGGCGAACGGGUGAGUAAUACAGCGGAACGAGCCUAGUAGUGGGGGAUAACUACUCGAAAGAGUGGUUAAUACCGCAUGAGAUCUACGGAUGAAAGCAGGGGAUGGCAAGAGCUGGUGCUACUAGAGCGGCCGAUGGCAGAUUAGGUAGUUGGUGGGAUAAAAGCUUACCAAGACGACGAUCUGUGGCUGGUCUGAGAGGACGAUCAGCCACACUGGGACUGAGACACGGCCCAGACUCCUACGGGAGGCAGCAGUGGGGAAUUUUGGACAAUGGGCGAAAGCCUGAUCCAGCAAUGCCGCGUGCAGGAUGAAGGCCUUCGGGUUGUAAACUGCUUUUGUACGGAACGAAAAGCCCUGGGUUAAUACCCUGGGGUCAUGACGGUACCGUAAGAAUAAGCACCGGCUAACUACGUGCCAGCCGCCGCGGUAACAC